rnacentral:rRNA from 1 species
GUGGGGAAUUUUGGACAAUGGGCGCAAGCCUGAUCCAGCAAUGCCGCGUGCAGGAAGAAGGCCUUCGGGUUGUAAACUGCUUUUGUACGGAACGAAACGGUCCUGGUUAAUACCUGGGGCUAAUGACGGUACCGUAAGAAUAAGCACCGGCUAACUACGUGCCAGCAGCCGCGGUAAUACGUAGGGUGCGAGCGUUAAUCGGAAUUACUGGGCGUAAAGUGUGCGCAGGCGGUGCUGUAAGACAGGCGUGAAAUCCCCGGGCUCAACCUGGGAAUUGCGCUUGUGACUGCAGGGCUGGAGUACGGCAGAGGGGGAUGGAAUUCCGCGUGUAGCAGUGAAAUGCGUAGAUAUGCGGAGGAACACCGAUGGCGAAGGCAGUCCCCUGGGCCUGUACUGACGCUCAUGCACGAAAGCGUGGGGAGCAAACAGGAUUAGAAACCCCUGUAGUCC